rnacentral:rRNA from 1 species
UACGGAGGAGGCAAGCGUUAUCCGGAAUUAUUGGGCGUAAAGCGUCCGUAGGUGGUUGGCCAAGUCUGCUGUCAAAGGGUGGGGCUUAACCUCAUAAAGGCAGUGGAAACUGGCGAGCUAGAGUGCGGUAUGGGUAGGGGGAAUUCCCAGUGUAGCGGUGAAAUGCGUAGAGAUUGGGAGGAACAUCGGUGGGGAAAGCGCCCUGCUGGGCCUGCCCUGACACUGAGGGACGAAAGCUAGGGGAGCGAAAGGG